GCGAAGUUUUGAAGUUGAGGACUUCUCCCCUCCUGACUGACUCACCAUCUCAAGAAGGCCCACCGCUCCUCUCUGUGUCGUUGAUGGCCAUCCGGCGUACACGGUGAGACACCUGAGUUCGACCACGGGGCAGGGGUCUCCAGUACCUGGUUGACUGGGAGGGUUAUGGCCCGGCGGAGAGGUGCUGGAUCCCCGCUAGAGACAUCCUAGACGACUUCCACCGCCUGCACACUGGUCUAUCAGGUGUGUGCCCAGGUAUUCAUCGUCUGAAGAAGAGGAAUCAUCGGACCAAAGUGCAGCGUGGUUGUAACGUUCGUCGUCUGAGGAGUAUGAAGGAUCGGAGGACCAAUGCACAGCGUGGACAAGCACCCCUUCUGAGAGGCGGUCGUGGGCCUCAUUUGAGAGGUGUGGGGGAACGUGGUAGAGGAAAAGACCACGGACCAAGACAGCUGUAACAACAGCAAAGAGUGUCCAAUGAAAUCCGAGCAAUAGUUGUAGACCAUGACGUAAAUCAUGGCAUGACAAUGAUUCAACCAAACCUCAGAAUAUCAACCAUGGCCUCAAUCAUCAGAACUUUCUGCAAUGAGAACUGAAUUGAGACUAGUCCAAAUAGUGGAGGCAGAGUCAAAAUUCUGAAUGACCAACAAGAGCGGGCUGUGGUCAAUUUGGUUCGGGCCAGAAAUGAUAUUCGCCUUACAGAAAUUCAGCAGCACAUCUUGGACAAUGACGACAUGUUGAACAAUGUGGAAGCCAUAAGUUUGCUGAUUAUUGCCCACAUGCUGAAAAGGCACCAGGUGUCUCUUAAACAGCUAUACUGUGUGCCUUUUGAAAGAAAUGCAGACCGAGUGAAGCAACUGAGUACGUUCAGAGGGUGACGGAGUUGGAUGCUGAUGAAAACCACAAAUUCCUCUUUUUGGAUGAGGCAGGCUUCAACCUGGCCAAGACGAGGAAAGGCCAGAAUUUCAUUGGCCAGCGGGCAACCAUCCAAGUACCUGGACAAUGUGGGGCAAACAUCACCAUCUGUGAGACUAUAUCAGAAGAUGGUGUGGUGGGACGCAAACCUCGUAUCGGAUCAUAUAAUGCAGCUCUCCUUGUAACCCUCCUUGAUGAGCUAAAUCAGGUCUGUAAAGCUAAUGGCGUGACCUAUGUCAUUGUGUGUGAUAAUGUCAGGUUCAACCAUGUUCAAAUGGUGCAAGCAUGGUUUCAGGCCCAUCCACAAUUUACCACCCUGUACUUACCCCCAUACUCUUUCCUUAACCUGAUGGAGUAAUUUUUCUCCACAUGGAGAUGGAAUGUACUGUAUAUGAUAGGCGCCCUCACGAACAAGCCACCCUUCUCCAGGCCAUGGAUGACGCAUGCAAUGACAUCACAGCAGACCAGUGUCAGGCCUGGAUUCGCCAUGCCCGAAGAUUCUUCUCGAGUUGUUUGGCUAAUGAAAAUAUUCAUUGUGAUGUGGAUGAGAACCUGUGGCCAAAUCCACAAGACAGGGUUGAUGGAAAUAUAGAAGUAUAGUAAUCAAUACUCUGUUUUGCUUUUUCCUUUUUUAUGUAUCUAUUUUAGUUUGGUCAGGGCGUGAGUUGGGGGUGGGCAUUCUAUGUUUUUGUUCUAUGUUUUGUAUUUCUGGUUUUGGCCUGGUAUGGUUCCCAAUCAGAGGCAGUUGUCAAUCAUUGUCUCUGAUUGAGAACCAUACUUAGGCAGCCUGUUUUCCCACUAUGGGUAGUGGGUAGAUGUUUUCUGUCUUUGUAUUAGUUACCAGACGGAACUGUUUCGGUUGUUAUUUUUGUUUACUUUGUAUUGUAGUGUUCAGUUCAGUUUAAUAAAAU
ensembl:lncRNA